rnacentral:lncRNA from 1 species
UUUUCUUUUUUUCACUUUUUUCUUUCAUUUUCUUUUCAUUUUUUGGUAUUUUGGAGAAGAAUUAGAGCAACAAAAGGAGAAAACUCAAAGAAAGAGGAAGAGAUUUUGGGGAAAAUUCAAAUUUAAUCUAUGACAAUCUUCAAGAAUCCAAUCAAAAAGGGUAUUUGAAUUUUCUCCUAAAUUUUUUUAAUUAUUUUCUUCCAUUUGUUAUGUAUUGUAUGAAAUGUUUUCUUCUCUAUCAUUUAUAAAACUUGGGCUAAAUUCUUGAUGUUGGGUUUAUGAUUUAGUUUAAUCUAGCUUUUAUUAAUAUCGAUAUUUUUCUCUUUAAUGUUAAACUAUUUAUUAUUAUUAUUAUUAUUACGCUCCUCAUCAAACCACUUCGACACGUUAGUUCCACUCCUCUACGAUGUGCCACGUGUCCCUACGAAGUGGUUUCGAAGCGACAUCAACCUCACUCGAACUCCAACUUGACGGACCGCAAAACACACAUUUCACAAACUAAAUCUACUGAAGCAACCAAAACGUCCCCCUGUAACCAAGGCGUUUGGCUCUCCGAGGUGCUCCCUUAACGUAUACCUCCGCCGCCAGUUUCAGAAGUAUAUCUAUGUCAGGAUUCUCUAUAGAUGUGACAUCUCCAUGGAUCUAGUUGAUGUGACAUCAACUUUAUGUCAACUCAACUCAGGAGAAUUAGUAACCCACCCACUCUAGACGAGGCUGAUUAACGUCUACGAACAGACGUCUCACGCUGUCAGAUGUAUACACAUGUCUCAUAUCUAAUGGUGCUCCUCGUCUAUAAAUACUCAAGGUUUGGCAAUAAACAAAGGUAACAAAAAUCUCUAUAAACUUGACAGUCCACAUUCAAUUAUCAUAUAUUCUCCUUCCCACUCUCUUGUACAAUUUUGGCACCAUUUCGAUCAUCAACCACUGACUCGAUCGUCGGAGUGUAUGCGGUCGCUGCUACCCCAACUGGUUCCGACCAUGUGCUCCUGACCGUGUGUUGUUGUGAACAGGGAGGAACACAUGGAGUGGCUCUCGGUUGGCCACAUGGAAAUCCAAUUCGCGGGGUCAACAAUUAUUAUUAUUGUUGUUGUUGUUGUUGUUGCUGUUGUUGUUGCAGUUUCAUUUACAUGGUCAAUGUAUGAUUAUGCUUAGUGAUUUAUACCUAGUUCGAGAAAAGAUUAUACAUAUUAGAGCAAACAGUAGAAACCCUAGAUUCUUGUCGGGAACAGAGAUAUACCCCUUACCCUAAGUGAUCCAUUGAGCUAUUUUCACAAAAAUUUAAUGCAAUUGUUUGGUUUUAAUUGACAUAGAGAUAUAAUAGGUUAAACCAAUCAAUUAAAGUUAAUUUCGCUUGAAGAAGAAUAAUUAGCUGAACUUGAAAAAUCAGGUCUAAAAUUGUAAAUGGGUAAUUAGUUAAUUUGCUUGUUGAGAAGUAAAAUCAAGCAACAAUUUAGAGAAAUCAUGAAUCCCAACAACGUUUUCCUUCGUAAUUUCCAUGUGUUUUGGUUUCCUUAUUUUGUAGAAUUUUAGUUAUUUUCCUCAUUUUCCAAAAUCAUAUUAUCUUGUGUUCAUUUUUAUUGUUAAAAUUAUACUGAUAAAGCUGUGUAAUUUAAAGUAAAAAUUCUUCAAGGGAUCAAUAGCUCGAACUAAAAAGUUUACUUUAUUAGUUUAUUAUUUGAACGCAACCCGUGCACUUACAGUUUACAUUUUCAUAGAGAAGAAGUUUUUAGCGCCGUUGUCAAAUAAUGUUUUAACUUUGAUUAUCACUUUAGUUACUUUUAGUUUUAACAAUUUUUUCAACUUACUUUUGUUUGCUUUUAUUUUUAUAUUUUUGGCUAACCCCUAUAGUUUUAAUCUAUCUUGUAUUGGUAUUUUCUCUUCGUACUUUUUCAGAUAUUUAUGCAUGGUUCUAAUAGUGAUAAAGUAACGAAAGUUUUGUAACGGAUAAUCUCUAUAUGGGUUAUGAAGAUAUGCGAUAUCAAAGUUGUAAAAAUUGUUACACGAUGUAUGGUAUUGAGCCAUGCUUGUUCUCAUACACUAGUUUACAUACGUCGAAACUUCUUAGGUCUAGAAAAUACUUAAAAUGUCAAAAAAAAAAAAAAGCAAUUGAGAAAAAUGAUGAAAGGUACAUGCUUGUGGGAUAUUUUGUACCUUACAAUUGGGAUGAGGACAUCAAACUUGCGAGAGAUGACCUUUCUCUAUUAAAUGAGAAGAUACUUGCAAAGUAUUUUUAAAAACUUACCUUGUUGAAUGAAAGCGAUAUGCUUAUGGGGGAGAUUAUAUGUAUUGGGAAUAAUUUCAACAAUGGGGGUACAAUCCAUUUGAAGGAGUCAAUGAAACCGACUUGUCAUCGUCCGUGGAUGUAAAUUAUGGACCGCUCAUUCAAUUAGAUGAAAUAUCAAUUAUUGAAGAAGAGCUUGAAGAGAGCAAAAAAUCAAUCACGGCGGAGCUAAACGAAAAUAUAGCAAUCAAUGAAAGAGAAAAUCAACUUACAUUUUUCCCACUACAUUGAUUGCUAAGAAAUUGAUUUUAUGAUUAAACAUGUCAAGGAGAUAGAAGUCUUCAUAGUUAAAUUUGAAGUGGAUGGAUUAGGCAAGUGAUCUUAUAUGGAAAUUGCCAAUGUUGAGUUUUGGAGAUUAAACAAAACUGGAACAAAGCCAAACAAAGAAAAACGGACAAGGCAUCUAAAGCCUUCUUGAGAUGCCCGUGAUUCAAUUGACAAAGUCGAGUUAAAGACUUUGAAAAAGUGCUUAUUGGGAUGCAACCCAAUUUUUUUUUAACUUUUAAGCUUUUUUGUUUACUUGUAUGUAUUUUCAUGCGUUAAUUUAAUUAGCUAUCAUUUUUUAUAGGUAAUUUUGAAGUCCACAUAUCCAUACUUUCUAACAAGUUUUGGGGUAAAUUGUGUACAUGAAUGACACUUGUCCAAGUUUAUUAAAAGCAUAACUGAUCCAAGUAGAGCAUUGGUACCUCUUUACCAAAUUUUUGAUCGAGAAAGUUUCGUUACCCUAUCUUCUAUUUUAUCUUGUUCUUUAGACACUAAGGACAAUUUGUAAUUUAAAUUUUGGGGUGGUUGUGCUUAAAUUUGUGAUUUUGUUUUUACAUGUUAGAUAAGCCUUGCCAGCUUAGGAUUGUUUGAUGUUUAAAAUAGUUAUUGAUUCAUGAGUUAUGUAUGACUAAAUAUGCUAUUUGUGCUUGAACUUUCUGAAAAAUUUUGUUUGUUCAUGUAAGAUUUCAAGUUAAUUAUUAUAAAGAUGUGGAAAAUUUUGAUUGAUGGAGAGAUUUUUUAUUUGGUAGAACUAGGUUUGAGUUGUAUUUAAAUGUCUAUCAAUCCUAUAGUAUCUGCUCUUUCACUUAAUCUUGUUGUGAGAUAAACUUGGGGUGAUCGAGUUAGUGAAGGAUAUUUCUAGAAAGUGUUGAUUCCGUGCAUGUUUAAAAAAAAAAUUGUGUGGAACGUCUUUUUCUAACAAGUAUAAACUAGGUAAGGACCAUACGCUAGGGAUCUAAGUCUCAUCUGUUAAGUCGUGAUUAAAAGAAUGAUAUUGCUCUUAUUGAAUCUUAAAUCUCAUUUCAUAGCCUUUUUUACUCAAGUAGGUUUGAAUUACUUAGUAGAAACUUUAAUGUGGAAGCACUCAUUAGUAGAGAAUCAUCAUAUGUCUAGAUGUUGAGAUUGUCGGAAAAGAAAUGAAUAACCUUUAGAUUUACACCUGGGGAAAGAAAAUGAAUUUCUAUUUGAGUUUGUGAAUCUCACGAGUGGGAAAGGAAACAUUUGGCCACUAAGGGUUGAGUUUGAACUAAUUUGAAAUUUUUUCCAUCUUAACAAUUUUUUCCUAAUUUAGAUAAUGAUUGAAAAUGACUAUGCAUACCCACACACACUGAUCGAACAUUGGAUAAGCUUAAAUUAUUUUUGUUAUUAUUAUUUGGAGCAUAUUUGUGAAUUGAUUAUUCUAUUUUAUACUUAGAUAAUUUGCAAGUUAUCUAAUGUGUUGAUUGUUGUAAAUUGUUGCUUGAUUGUGUUGUAGAUAAUCUUGCUCAGGAUGAACAAAAGCUCAAGUUUGUAAGUAUUGAUAAGUAUGUUUUUACAUACUUAUUUAAUAUCUAAAUAAUCUUAAACAUUGAUUAAAGGAGCAAGUUUCUACUUACAAUUAUGUAAUUAUUAUUUUUGUAGGUAAAAAUCAUCUAAAGAAAUAUAACAAGACAAAAGGAAGUGAAAAUGGACUAAAAGUGUACAAAAUUGUGACAUGUUGUAUGCCAUAGUUGUCGCGAGAAAGGUCACUUCUUUGCGGAAUGCUCGAAAAAACAUCACUACCCUUGGUGUAAAAUUGGGUUUGUGAAGUGCUUUGAGGUCGAGAAGGAGACGGAAAACAAGGGAAAAUUGUUCAAUUGUUGCAGUGCUAAAUGUAAAUAUUGUGAAUAGGUCGAGAAAGGAGAAACAAGGGGGUCAAGUGGUGUUAAAAUGAACGUGAAUAAUCCUGCAACAGUGGCUGAAGAAGAUCAAGAGUUUGCUCGUAUGUUCCAAACUCGUUGUCGGGUUACCGAAGACGAAAAGUUUGAGAUUCAAGUGACUGUGACAAUUCGCAAGGUCAACGAAAGUGCUGAACUGGAUAAGAAAGGGAAGGGAAAACUUGAGUAAUAGUUGUGUUAUCAUUAGUUUCGCUUCCUGGUACUUAUGAUGUGUAGUAUGUGUUCUUGUAGGUGUAGAGUGUUAUGUUAUGUGUAGUUGGAGUGCAGUUGGGUGGCUAUAAAAUUGAGGACAAAAUGCUACUCUGGGGAAUUAUGAGUCCUAAAUUUGUGUUCUUCACUUUUGUAUGUAGGAAGACACUGUAAAUUCAUUCACUAAUGUUAAUAUGACUUCAUUAUUAGUCCUUCAUUUGUUGGUGUUAAUUUUGGUGGCUGUGAAUGUGAAGUGGCUGUGAAUGCAGGGAGAAUUUUGGUGGUUGUGAAUGUGAAGUAGCUGUGAAUGCAGGGAGAAUUUGUCUCCAGUUUUCAAUUAACAUCAACCCAGGCAAAGUGGCGAACUAAAU